rnacentral:rRNA from 1 species
UGGGGAAUAUUGCACAAUGGGCGCAAGCCUGAUGCAGCCAUGCCGCGUGUGUGAAGAAGGCCUUCGGGUUGUAAAGUACUUUCAGCGGGGAGGAAGGGAGUAAAGUUAAUACCUUUGCUCAUUGACGUUACCCGCAGAAGAAGCACCGGCUAACUCCGUGCCAGCAGCCGCGGUAAUACGGAGGGUGCAAGCGUUAAUCGGAAUUACUGGGCGUAAAGCGCACGCAGGCGGUCUGUCAAGUCGGAUGUGAAAUCCCCGGGCUCAACCUGGGGACUGCAUUCGGAACUGGCAGGCUAGAGUCUUGUAGAGGGGGGUAGAAUUCCAGGUGUGGCGGUGAAAUGCAUAGAGAUCUGGAGGAAUACCGGUGGCGAAGGCGGCCCCCUGGACAAAGACUGACGCUCAGGUGCGAAAGCGUGGGGAGCAAACAGG